rnacentral:lncRNA from 1 species
ACUUUAAAUGUAAUUAUCCAAAGUAUGGUUCCGGAGACAUUGGGAGAUUGAGCACUCCUUCAGAACGAUUCUACGGGGAAAAAAAACAAAAAACAAAAAACAAAAAAACAGUGGCCAGAGACUUGAGCAGGAUGUGUGAAGGGAUUUAAUAAUGGAACUUGUGGCAACAGUAGACUUCAGAGACCAGACUGGCGGCUUGAAGAAAGCUAUUUUCUCGUACCAAAUACAUUCCAUUUCCUAAAUGGAAUGUCAGUAUUGCAACUGUGAUGCCUUUAUAUCAUGUGAGAAGAACAAUAGAGUCCUGGGAGGCAAGUGCAGAUGACCCCAAGGUCCUUGUGGACAAGGAAGUAAAAGCUAAGAAGAAAUGGCACGUUUCUUAGGAAACAUUUCAAUAUUGUUAUUUAUACAAGGAUGCAGAGAACAGUACAGCUGGAGAAUUAAAUGGAGAGAUCAGCGCACAGAUGGACUUGCAGAGUGGCAAAUCACUAGAGGGCAAACGUCGCACUGCCUUAGAAAUGGAGUUGGUAUUGGUGAAUUCAACAAGAGGACCAGAAGGAGGAGGAAGAGGGAAGAUUUUAAUGCUGUGCAGUGGUGCUCAGGUCUAGGUCAAGAACAAUGAGUCUCAUAUGAUUGUCUCUUGACUUUGACUAUCACGGCCCCAGGUACUGAAGAUAAGAAUAUAGAGAAGUUUUUCUUCUGACAGACUUGCUGGAAGCCAGGUGGCUAUCGCUGGUAACAAUCCAGGAAGCUAACGGAUAACUUCUGUAACAACUGGACCCACACGGCCAGGACUUGAUUAAUGACUGACAUCUACCCUAAUUUUUGUGCCUACAUCCAAUUUAAGACCAAACAGAGAAAACGAAACACGCACCCCUAACCGAUCAUGCAGAAUGCCCCUACUUCUGUUUAGCCCGCCUACAGCUUCCCCAUGGCAAUAGCCUCCAAUCAGGAUACACCUGAACCCUUCCCUCCCCACCCACUGCCCUGCUAUAAAGCUUUCUCAUUUCUCUGCCUUUGAAUCACUGCCAAAACACAGCGACAGUAGCUAACUCCCUUGUUGUAUAGCAGGCUGUGAAAAAAUAGCACUUGCAUUUCUCAUUUGAUUGGUCGUCAUUUAUUUCUAUAACCAUGUGUUUCAUUCAUGC